UGUGUGUAUAUAUAUGUGUGUGUGUGUGUGUGUGUAUAUAUAUAUACACACACACACACACACACACACACACACACA